AAAAAUUGUAUAUAAUUUUAGGCACCACACUCUAAAGGGAACAUUGAAAACUUGAAGCAGGUCAAGAAGAAAAAAACUGAGGUAUGGAGAAAACUUGAAAUUAUAUUGUAGGAAGAAUGUUGGAGGAACUGCAGAUGUUUACCUGGGAGAAGAGUGAAAGGAUGGGAGGGAAGAGGUGAGGAAGUAGACAUGGAAAUUACUGUAUGGAUAUUUGCAAGGCUGCUACUAUGUAGGAGACUUAUUUUUUAUGACUCUGGGUUGGCAGAACUGCCCAAAAACAGAUUUUUGCCUUAAUUUAAGGAAAAACUUGUCCCUUAGAACUGUCUGACAAAAGGAAUGGAGAAAUGGGCUGCCUCUGGAGUAGCGAGUGUUCCAGCAUGGACUGGAUUGGCACUUAUUGGAGGUGUUGCAGUGAAAGUUCAUUCAUUGGAUAAGUGUUGGAUUAAAUGACCUCCAGGUUCCCCUUUCAACUCAGAAAGUCAGUGACUUAAAUUCUGAUCCCUACUUACCAAUAAUCACUGAAUAGAUUUGACAGUGAUGCAUUCUUUUGUGUUGCCUGUUCUUCCAAUUGUUAUUUCCUUAGUAACACUCCUCCCGCCCCUGGCAGGUUGUAACAGUUAUGAUAGCAAUGAUUUGUAGUGACUGCCAACCCUCAGGGAACCAGGAUACUAUAGAUUCAUAGGGUUAUAAGGGACCUUAAAGGUCAUUUAGUCCAGUCUUGUAGACUUGAUUCUCUAGGGAUAUCUGGCCACUUUUUUAGUGGGUAUUUUUUAAGACAGUUAGUUUAUAAUGUUACUCUAAACUGACUUGAUUUUUUAGUAAAAUUGACUGGUAUCAGAAAACUGGUGUAAGAAAGCUGGCAUGUGGGAAGUACUCUUGGAAGGGAACAAGAUAACAGCUGUCCACUUCUAAAGGCCUUGUAGGUUUCGUUCUCUGGCAUCAUUAACAUUAGCAGAGUAAUACAAUAGUAAUAACCUUGCUAGGCCUAAUUAAUUUUUCUCUGCUUUCUUUAUCUCAUAUUAAUGAGUUUUCAUAAAAAUAAGAGAAGAUUUUAAUUCUUUUUUUCCCUCACAUUAUCAAUUUGGGACACUGGCCAUUCCAGUGAUGGCUGUCAUUGAGUCAGGAAUCUUGUUUUCAAGAUUAAAAUUUUAUCAUUUGUAUGUAGAUCAUUAGAAUACAAAAUGCCCUCCCCCACUUUUGCCAUUUUUGCUAGAAUUGGUGUCAGAAUAGAUUCAGUUAGGAGCAAAGUUCAGACACACAUGUUGAUUCAGGGAUCAGAGUCCAACAGGUAAAAGGCUAGAACUACCGUAACAAAUCAAUGCUGUUUUAUUUUUAUGUUGUGUUUAACUAAAGGACAUUCUGUAUUGACAGG
rnacentral:lncRNA from 1 species